UCAAACGACGGCCUGUUAGAUCGUAACCGUCACAGCGGUACAUUGAUCUCUCGCCUCAGCAGCAGUUUGCAAUGAUCAAGCGACGUAAAUCAAGAUCAACGCGUGGAGUUCUUUUUACGAUAAAAGUUAAAAAACCUUGCCGUGUCAUUGGCAUUUUAGCUUUAUAAAGAAAACAAAAAUUUCCAACUGCCUUUUAUAAAAUUUCGGUUUUGUUAUUUCCUUUGAUCCGAGCAGAAACUCACCAAUUGAUUCAUUUUUUGCUGAUUUCUUUCUUUAAUUUCUUUUAAAAAUUUGCAAUUCCCUGAUUUUCGUGGUAAAUUUCGACAGCAGGAAGAUAGGCAGAUGAGUGAACACUGAACAGAUAUGUGCAUAUGAAAGAGUUUGGUGGUUGUCAGUCUAUCAUCUUGGCUAUCUGUAUCAGAAUAAACACUGGUUUGGUUUUGAGCUUCAAUUUAUAGGUAUUGAAGGUAAUUUUGGUCCCAGUCCCCUUGACUUCUUGGUUGUCCUUGUAGAAGCAAGUGAUCAUUUUUCAUGUUAAGACAGAAUAAAGCAAAUGAGCUGAGAAAGCAUAAUGAAAUUGUAAUGUGGCUAUGAUUUUUGUGUUCUUAUUCUGGGGCAUUCUUGUAGCAACAUAGGAUGGGUGGUUUAUCUUUGUAAAAAUUGUAGUUUGAGAGGAGCAGUGUUAUUCUCUCAAUUUUCAGAAGGGAAACAUAAAUUGAGCAACAGAAGAAUAAGGACUGGUAAAUGAAUUUCUGGACUUGUUGAUUCUUCAGCAACUUAAAAGUGUAUCCGCAAGCAUUGGUCUUUUGGGCUGUCGAAUAAGAUGCUUGCCUGCUAUUGCUCCAUGGGAUGGAGAGGUGUCUUCUAUUCUUCACUUUUCCUUCUCACCCUAGUUGAAUCAUCAGGCAGAUCAGAGAGAAUAUUGUUGCCAAACUUUGGUGCGCAGAAAGCUGUAGAUUUCAGCUGGCCAGUCUUCAGUGCAAGCAUAUUUGUGUUUGUUGCUCUUGUCCUCUCUAUGUACCUUAUCUUUGAGCAUUUAGCUGCUUAUAAUCAACCGGAGGAGCAGAAGUUUUUGAUUGGACUCAUUCUGAUGGUUCCUGUCUAUGCACUGGAAUCGUUUUUAUCACUGUUGGAUUCAGAUGCCGCUUUCAAUUGUGAAGUAAUUCGGGACUGUUAUGAAGCUUUUGCAUUGUACUGCUUUGAGAGAUAUUUGAUAGCUUGUUUAGGUGGGGAGGAACGUACAAUUGAAUUCAUGGAAAGUCAGACGGUAAUCACUUCCAGAACCCCUCUUCUGGAAGAGGCAUAUGCAUACGGAGUUGUUGAACAUCCUUUUCCAUUAAAUUGCUUCCUGAAGGAUUGGUAUCUUGGUCCCAAGUUCUAUCAUGCUGUAAAGAUUGGAAUUGUUCAGUAUAUGAUACUGAAGAUGAUCUGUGCAUUACUGGCUAUGAUUCUGGAAUCCUUUGGGGUUUACGGAGAAGGAAAGUUUGAAUGGAGAUAUGGCUACCCAUACCUGGCUGUUGUUCUUAAUUUCAGUCAGACUUGGGCCCUAUAUUGUCUUGUACAGUUCUAUGCUGUUACUAAAGAGAAGUUGGAACCAAUUAAACCAUUGGCCAAGUUUCUGACAUUUAAGUCAAUUGUAUUCCUGACUUGGUGGCAAGGUGUUGCUGUUGCAUUUCUUUUCUCUAUGGGAGCUUUUAAGGGGUCAUUGGCUCAGGAAUUGAAGACACGUAUACAAGACUACAUUAUCUGUAUUGAGAUGGGAGUUGCUGCUGUUGUGCAUCUUUAUGUCUUCCCUGCGGUACCUUACAAGCGUGGAGAAAGAUGUGUUCGUAAUGUAGCUGUUAUGACAGACUAUGCUUCUCUAGGAACACCACCGGAUCCUGAGGAGGUCCAAGAUUGUGAAAGAUCUACUAGGAUGCGCUUGGGUCGACAUUAUGAGAGAGAGAAGCGUUUGAACUUUCCCCAGAGUGUUCGUGAUGUGGUCUUGGGGAGUGGUGAAAUCAUUGUUGAUGACAUGAAGUAUACAGUUUCACAUGUUGUUGAACCAGUUGAAAGGGGAAUUGCUAAAAUAAAUAAGACCUUCCAUCAGAUAUCUGAAAACGUGAAGCGCCAUGAGGAGGAACGAAGGAGGAGCUGUAAGGAUGACAGCUACCUUAUCCCCUUAAAUUCGUGGAAUAGAGAAUUUUCUGAAGCCCAUGAAAACCUUGUUGAAGGGAGUGUUAGUGACAGUGGCAUGGCGAAUGGGAAGAGACAUCAUGUCGAAGCUAAAGCAGGGGCAUACAGGAAUAAAACAGCCAGAUAAUAUUUGCAGCUGUUUAUUGCUAUUGGAGUUGUUAAAAAGGUAUUUUAACAUGAUUUCUGGAGAAUGUCAAAAUACUCGGCAUGGUGAAGAACUUGAGGGACAAGACCUUGAUACUUUCCAACAUCAGAAAUGUAUAUAGAAGAUUCUGACUAAACUGCAAAAUUUUGCUGCAGUCUGGUCAAUGUAUACGGAAUAUACGAUUCUGAACAGGUGAAAAUUAUGAUGUUAUAUAUGAACCCCAUUGUAAAAGCAAGAAUUGUGGUGCAUUCUUUUGGUAUUAUACGUGGAAAUUUACCUCUGAAUGUUUUUUUGCCUCUCCA